rnacentral:rRNA from 1 species
AGCGAACGCUGGCGGCAGGCUUAACACAUGCAAGUCGAGCGGGCACUUCGGUGUCAGCGGCAGACGGGUGAGUAACACGUGGGAACGUACCCUUUGGUUCGGAAUAACGCUGGGAAACUAGCGCUAAUACCGGAUACGCCCUUUUGGGGAAAGGCUUGCUGCCGAAGGAUCGGCCCGCGUCUGAUUAGCUAGUUGGUGGGGUAAUGGCCUACCAAGGCGACGAUCAGUAGCUGGUCUGAGAGGAUGAUCAGCCACACUGGGACUGAGACACGGCCCAGACUCCUACGGGAGGCAGCAGUGGGGAAUAUUGGACAAUGGGCGCAAGCCUGAUCCAGCCAUGCCGCGUGAGUGAUGAAGGCCUUAGGGUUGUAAAGCUCUUUUGUCCGGGACGAUAAUGACGGUACCGGAAGAAAAAGCCCCGGCUAACUUCGUG